rnacentral:misc_RNA from 1 species
AAGUCGUAACAAGGUUUCCGUAGGUGAACCUGCGGAAGGAUCAUUAACACGUAUCCAAACGUUAAACAACCCCGUGAACAUACAACCUGCUCUGGUCGCCCGCUCGCAUGGACAAGCCCAGUAAAUCAAGCCCCGGAAAGUUUUUGAUUUGGGACCUCUGUGCGCGUGAGAAAAACUGACAGCGAUUCAUAGAAGCGGUAGGUCAAGUGACACGGCGUCCCCAAGUGACCAGUGAAUGAAAGUGUCGCUGGAGCGUCAAGGACGACUCUUCAAGAUUGCUAGAGGUCGACCACCGACCGGCUUCCGUGUAUACCGAGCUAACACCGCUCCCUUCCGAACCCCAUCCAUACGGAUGGGCAGGCCCCCCGAACAACUGUUAACAAUGGAUAUCUUGGUUCUC